GCUAAUUAAGGUCUUACUAGGCAUACUAGAAACUUCCAGGCAGGUGUGUUGAGGCAAAUUGGAGCUUAACUCUGCAGGACCGAGUUUGGAGACCCCUGAUCAAAACAUUUAGAGUGGUCAGAUCAGAUAUGUCAAUGGCGAGAGUUUGGGUGUAGCUACUGAGCCAACCAAAACACUGGUGACACACCAAAGCCCUUCUUCCAUGAAAUGUCAAAGAGGAAUGUCUACUAGAAGUGCAAUAUUAUAGCUGUGCUCACACAGAGAUGUAAUGCGCUGAAAAGCUGAUCUUUGACCUUUUGAGAUUUACAGCUUGAGAAAACCGAUGAGGUGAUAAACGCAUGAGGGAUAAAUCAAGACAAAUAUUGAAAAUAUGUUUUUGG
rnacentral:lncRNA from 1 species